ACAUCCAGAGAACUUUCCAGAGAUGGAUUGGUGCCUUCGGGAACUCUGAGACAGGUGCUGCAUGGCUGUCGUCAGCUCGUGUUGUGAAAUGUUGGGUUAAGUCCCGCAACGAGCGCAACCCUUAUCCUUUGUUGCCAGCGGUUAGGCCGGGAACUCAAAGGAGACUGCCAGUGAUAAACUGGAGGAAGGUGGGGAUGACGUCAAGUCAUCAUGGCCCUUACGAGUAGGGCUACACACGUGCUACAAUGGCGCAUACAAAGAGAAGCGACCUCGCGAGAGCAAGCGGACCUCAUAAAGUGCGUCGUAGUCCGGAUUGGAGUCUGCAACUCGACUCCAUGAAGUCGGAAUCGCUAGUAAUCGUGGAUCAGAAUGCCACGGUGAAUACGUUCCCGGGCCUUGUACACACCGCCCGUCACACCAUGGGAGUGGGUUGCAAAAGAAGUAGGUAGCUUAACCUUCGGGAGGGCGUUUACCACUUUGUGAUUCAUGACUGGGGUGAAGUCGUAACAAGGUAAGCGUAGUGCU
rnacentral:rRNA from 1 species